rnacentral:lncRNA from 1 species
CUGUGGAACAAAGCCAAGUGCAAGAGCUUUAUGGAAAAGGUUACAAAAGACAAAGUAACACUUGAGCGAAGGCAGAAGUCUACUGCGGUGACACUGCUGUUUCUGCUAGUUCCGCACGUUGAAUCUCUCAAUUCACCACAGUUCUAAUCAUGUUCCUCACAGGUUCUUCCAUGGAAUUUGUGGGGCUGAACCUAAAAUUCACUUAUAAAAGUGAGGUAUGACGACUAACCAGGAUAAUGUGGAAAGGAAAACAGAAUGGGAGGGCUGCCGUAACAGACGCUCAGAGCCUGCUGUGAGGUCAGCUGAGGAGGCAGCUAGGAACAGGACCCUGUGUAAGUGGGAACGCCAUCUGUGACAGACGUGUAGUGCGUAUCAGUGAGGAGCAAAAUGGACUGGGCUUUCACCUUCAUUUGGGCGACAAAGUCAGAUCUUUAUCUCAUUCACUGAAUUUAAGAUGGAAAUAUGAUGGAAACGGAGAAUGUCAUGCUAAGUGAAGUAAGCCAAACUCAGAACCAGCCCAAUGUUUUCCCUCAUGUGGAAGCAAGAGUAAAAUAAAGGAAAAGGGGAGGGAGGAUAGAAUGACGGAAAGAACCAAUCAAAUACAAAUUCAUAGCCCAGCAAAAAGAAGUUUAGUCAAG